UGGAGUGAAUUUUAAAAAAUUGCUUAGUAAAAUUACCGAAGGAAAUGCAUUUGAAAAAUGUUAUUGAAAAAAAUAUAUAUAUAUAUCAGCAUCAGCAACACAAUAACUUCUAGUACUCCAUCAACUGUUACAAAAAUGUUCUGGUAAUAAAAUUACAAAAUUGUUCUUUGGAGUCUCCUUAAAAUAAGUGAUGUGUACCAAAAAAAGUAAACUACAGAAGAAUGGGGUAGACUGUUUUUUCCAUCAGUUUCACAGAAUGUGAAAGAAUAGUUGACUUUCAUUUCUAUAGAUCAAGAAGGAAAUUAUGAAUGAAAUUGUGCUCCAGCAGGUCCAUGUCUCUCCUGUACUGCGGGCUUCACAUCAGGACACAGUACUCCAGGAUGCAACUGAACAAUCCUUGUAACAUGAAAAGGAAUCAAAUAAAAAACAGACAGACAAGAACCCAUAGCAAAAAAAAAAAAAAAAAAAAAAAAAUAUCUAUAAUUAGAGACAUACUAGUAAGAAGUUGCUAAGAAAGUAUAAAAUGUGCAUAUGUACACACUUUCACUAUACAUAUAUUGCUAUGACCUGGAUUUCUGGGGCUUCUGAAGAGUAGUAAAAAUAUGCAUGGCAGAGAAUGCAUUAAGAUUUUGCUGAAUUACAAAUGAAAAACAUCCUCCAGAUACUCUGUAUUAAAGCUACUUAAAAGAAAAUUAGAUAGAUAUAAGAAAAUUUCUAAGAUGAAUGAACAGGUUAACAGAAAAUAUAUACUUUGAUAAAUUGUCCAAAGAGUAGAUGUAUGAACACAGUGAAGAAAAAGAUCCUUCUGUGGCACAAAAAAAAAGAGCUGUUAUAAUAAGGAUCUCAAAAUUUAGCCAUGGGGAGAAUACAUCAGGGUUGUGAAGAGUGAGAACAGGACCCUGCAGUUAUAGAGAGAAGGGCCUCAGAGCAAGAAAAGGGAAAGUAGCUUCACAAAGUAGAAAUAAGGAGCAAAUAGAGAUAGUUUAUGUAAGGAGUGUUAGAAAACAAGGGAUUCCAAGCACUUUCACAGACAGUAGGUCUGGAAUAUCAAGGAGGAUGAAGGCCAUAAAGAUAAGGACUGGAGAGCAGCUCAAAAACAUUUGGCAGGGAGGUGAUUAGAUGUCUACAGGGCAAGUUGAAACCGGUUCAGGAGAUGCCCCCCCUUUGGGGGCAGAAGUUUGCAGCAAGGAAGGCUACGAGCCUUCGCGAGGAAGACUAUGAGCCUUCAUCAUCAUGACCUACUACGCACGCGCAAGGGGGGGGAGGGACUGCAUGCUAAUGGGCUCUCGGGAAUGUAAUGAAUAUGUAUCCGAAUUCCUGUCAACUAUUGAUUAUGUAUUAGUUCGAUCUAUAUCUAUAGCACGAUUUCUCCUGAUGGUGUGCAAGUUAGGUGGAGCGAUCCCCCUUGCACCAGGGUGUACGUGCGUCACCAAUAAACACAUGCCUACUCUGUAUCCUUACCGGCUAUAGGGUCUGAUUUCCACACGUCAG
ensembl:lncRNA